rnacentral:RNase_P_RNA from 1 species
AGCGCAGGCCGCCUUAUCGUUCUAAUUUAUUAGGAAGGAAAGUCCGGACACCAUAGGGAAGCAUAGCGGCUAACAGCCGUCACUCCAUUUUUUGGAGGCGGACAAGUGCAACAGAAAGAAUGUACAGGUAAUGCUGUAGUGAAACCAGGUAAACUCUAUGCGGUGAAAUGCCACGUAAACCUGUGCUCAAGGGUUCCCGCCCGAUGCAGGAGGGUAGGCAGAUAGAGCAUAUUGGCAACAAUAUGUCCAGAUAAAUGAUGAGGAUUUCGAAAUACUUCGGAAUACAGAAUCCGGCUUAUAGGCCUGCAUUUUUA